CAAGUUCCAGGUUCAGUUCAUUAAUGGAUUUCAAUGGUUUCCCAAAUUAUUGACACUAAUUUAUUUGCUAUUUCCUCUCAAGGGGGAAUUAUCAGACAAUAGCUUUGAAGUUGAUGAACCGGACAGUCCAAACAAAAUUUUUCAAGCUGUACAAUUGAUGGACAAAGAAGUCACUGGAGCAGUUUUACCCCAAUUGCCUAUAGCGGUAAACAACAUUAAUAUUCUCAAGAGGUGGUUAAAAUGUCGCGGAUUGCCAGUCAAUGGAAAUAAAGAAGACUUGGUUGAAAGGUACUUGCAGUACACUUUCUAUUAUUUCAUAGUUUUGAUUUAAUUUUGAUGACAUGGCACUAUACUGUUCUUUUGUAGGGUGGCCCUUUGGAUGUCAAAGGGAAACUACCACAUCCUAAACCCUGGCGUUGACAAGGGGAUUUGGUAUGAUAAAAAAGUAGCUGAUCUCCAAAAGAAAAAUAAAUGCAAUGUAAUACUUAUUCCUACUUUUGUGUGAGAUGACAUCACACUGUGCUGCAUAUUAUUUUCUAAUAGUAUAUUUAUCUCUUUUUCAGAAUGACUUAAGUCAAGCUAUCAGUCAGGAAGAGUUGCAACAUGGAAUGAGAGGUAUACACACAGCAAGUCCAAGACCGAUGCUAUCUGUGCUGUGUUGGCUGAAAGUGGUGAGAGGGAUUAUGCCUCUAGAAAUAGCAUCUUGGAUACGUUACUAAAGCUCUGGAGUGCUGGCAAAGAGGUUGCAGUACUUGAAGUUGUAUCAUCUGGUCUCAACCUUGGUGCAAGUGAAGCCCUUUCAAUGAGAAACGAACAACGUGAACUGUCUGUUUCUGUAAAUGCUCCACCUGAACCUGAAAACUCUGCACAGGGUCACCUCGGUGCAGAUGAGUCUCUUACUGUGGAUGCUCCACCAUCUGAACUUGAAAACUCGGCACAGGGUAC